rnacentral:rRNA from 1 species
CACGUAGGGCGCGAGCGUUGUCCGGAAUUAUUGGGCGUAAAGAGCUCGUAGGCGGCCUGUUGCGUCCGCUGUGAAAGCCCGGGGCUUAACCCCGGGUCUGCAGUGGAUACGGGCAGGCUAGAGGUAGGUAGGGGAGAAUGGAAUUCCCGGUGUAGCGGUGAAAUGCGCAGAUAUCGGGAGGAACACCGGUGGCGAAGGCGGUUCUCUGGGCCUUACCUGACGCUGGGGAGCGAAAGCGUGGGGAGCGAACAGG